rnacentral:rRNA from 1 species
GGCUGAAAUUCGCCUUCAUGAAGCUGGAAUUGCUAGUAAUGGCAGGUCAGCAUACUGCCGUGAAUACGUUCCCGGGCCUUGUACACACCGCCCGUCACACCAUGAGAGUUGGAAAUACCCGAAGCCUGUGAGCUAACUUUUAGAGGCAGCAGUCGAAGGUAGAGCCAAUGAUUGGGGUGAAGUCGUAACAAGGUAAC